rnacentral:rRNA from 1 species
UACGUAGGGACCAAGCGUUGUUCGGAUUUACUGGGCGUAAAGGGCGCGUAGGCGGCAAUUCAAGUCAGCUGUGAAAUCUCCGAGCUUAACUCGGAACGGUCAGCUGAUACUGUUUUGCUAGAGUGCAGAAAGGGCAACCGGAAUUCUUGGUGUAGCGGUGAAAUGCGUAGAGAUCGGCAGGAACACCCAGGGGGAAACCAGUCGACUGGGCAUCUACUGACGCUGAGGUGCGAGAGCGUGGGGAGCGAACCGG